rnacentral:tRNA from 1 species
GGGGAUUUAGCUCAGUCGUAGAGCACUUGCCUAGCAAGCGCAAGGCCCUGGGUUCAGUUCCCAGCUCCA